rnacentral:ncRNA from 1 species
UUCUGCAACGGCUUCCUGGCGCGGAAAACUUAUUAUAAAUUGGAGCA